UACGUAGGGUGCGAGCGUUAAUCGGAAUUACUGGGCGUAAAGCGUGCGCAGGCGGUUGUGCAAGACAGAGGUGAAAUCCCCGGGCUUAACCUGGGAACUGCCUUUGUGACUGCACGGCUGGAGUGUGUCAGAGGGGGGGUAGAAUUCCACGUGUAGCAGUGAAAUGCGUAGAUAUGUGGAGGAAUACCGAUGGCGAAGGCAGCCC
rnacentral:rRNA from 1 species